UACCAGAACUAUGGCAGAUGGAGGUGGGGCAAUCUGAAAGAGAUGUGUUCAUAGAGUUGCUUUGGGUCGGAAAUGACUCGACAGCAUAAGACAAGACAAGAGGCCUUGGACAUUGCAAAAUCACUAUCUUAGGCGAUCUCCACUACUAGAAAUUGACUUUGAUUACUCAAAAAUAUACCACCAACUUUCAGUGCCCAAAGAGUAAAAUUCACAGCUCGUGCUCACGAAACUGACUCUUGCAACAUGGUUUUUGAGAGCCCAGGCAGUUUUGACAUGACAAAGUGUGUCUUGACGCUCCCCAGUUACCUGUAAAAGAGGAUUUCCAUAGGGACAAAUUGUUACCCUGCAUGGAUUGGAACUCUGUCUAUCACUCAGAGACUUCAAGCAGUAAAAGGUUUCAGAGUGCCACUUCAUUCCCAGGUUACACUCCUUGGCAUGGAAAUCUGUUUCAGCCUACGAACCACUGUUCAAACCUUCUCUCUGCCUAGAACACCACUCCCAACUCCCCGCCCCCUGUCAAUUUCAAUCCAUCAUUUUUAUUGAGCGCUUACUUUGUGCAAGAGCAAGACCAGUCUAGCCUCACCUUCAGAACUCAGGUAAAGAACUAUAUCUGGGAAUCAUGGCUUUAUUAACCCCUUUACCAUCCUGCCCAUACCAUCCAAUCAGCAACUUUAGCACUUUUUA